GUUUCUGAGUGCACUGGACAAAGAAACUGAACCGCCAAUGAAAAGUAGGAGGAGCUGGUCUGCUGGAAAUCUGGCCAGCUACGGGCGGGGAACUGAAAUAGUUGUCCCUCUGUUUUUACUUUCUUUUGUCUUUAUUUUAAUUUGGUGUUUUAGUUUAUUGUUUUUGCUCGGAACCCGUGAGGGGGAAGGGUGAAGAUGUUCGUUUAUUUGAUUUCGGGUUUGCGUGGGUGUGCUCUCUCUCUCCAUGUGGCAACCACGGUGUUUCCCAGAACUGCUGAAUCUCCCUCCCCGGGGGUGUCACGGUGGCGUGUGAAAGCGAGAGUGACAGAUACCGUGGUUCAGAGCUCCGGCUGCAAGUUCCCCUGGGUGUGGGGAAUUGUGGGAAAGAUUGAAAAUAGCCCCCGGCAAGCUGCUGGCAUUCUGCACCAAAGGCCCUCCAUCAUCCAGUUCAUGCUUUUCUUUCAUGGCCUUGACUCAGCAGUUGGGGCUUGUUAUAGAUAACCUGCAUGUAUUCUGAUGUUUGGUAUUUCCAGGUGGAUAUGGUGCUAUUCUGUAAUCUUAUUGACACUGCAGGGAUUGCUGUCUACAACUUCCUGAAUGUGAGAGCAGUGGGAGCAACAGCAAGCAGUCCUAUUGUGUUUCACUUUAAUCACAUUUGCAGUGCCUGUGUAAUGGAGUUUAAAAUGCA